UGCAGCUUGGCUAAAUUCCAUAAUCUCUAAACUGUAGAGAUUUUUAUAUAAUUACUUAUAUAUACUGGUAUAUAUACUAUAUGUACUGUACGUACCUCCGUGGGCGUGUUUAGCUGGAGACAAAAGUGUUCCUCUCUAUCUCGGUUGGCACUGGAAUAGUUUUAAAAAAAAUCAAUCCAUCCAUCCCACUCCGUAUACAUGUAUAUAGCAAUGACUCCAGGGAUUUCUUUAAAACAAUGACUUCAACCAUCAUUUCCUGGCCGUGUAUAUAUAGAGAGGGGGGAUUUCGGAGGUCAUUAUUUACUGGGC
rnacentral:sRNA from 2 species